GGACUCGCGGGCUGGGAGAGGGGAAGGGGACGCCAGCCGCGGACUGAGGGGAGCCCGGCUGAGGCGAGAGGUGGCAGUUGCACACCUGGCUCUGGACAGCUGUGGUCGGGGAACCGGGGCAGGAGCCAAAGGUCUACUGGGCGACAGAGCUGAGAAGCCUUUGGGGCCGAUCCCAGGCUCGGAGCUGGAGCUUUCAACCCGCGGUCCAGCUGGCACUGACUGCGCAUGCGCAGGAGGGCCAGCGAUCCUCUGGGUUCUGCCGAAGAUGAAUGU